AUUGGAGAAGUCUCUUCCACCUAACAUGAUAUGAGAACUUCUAAUGAACAACUCACUACUUUGAGGUGGAUUCUGAGGAUCCAUUCUGAGGACAGGUGUAUGAAUGGGUAGAGUCACUGUAUCUUCAAGGAACUCAUAGGACUGUGAAGCCAAAACACUCUUGGAUAACUGUUGAGGAAUGUCUGCCCUGCUUCUCCUUUCUCUGCUUU